ACAAGAUAUGGCAUAUUCCCGCGGAUAACUUUAAGACUAUAAUGCACAACCGCACCAAUAAGGACACAAACCGGUGAAGGAGGCUCCAGCGAUAUAGCUUCUGCCACGGUUAGGACAAUUUUAUCUUCCAUAUAUUUAACUGAUGGUUCAGCCAAAUGAACAGACACUAUUUCAUGGCCAAUUUCUGUCCCCUUUACAACAUAAAGAUCAGAAAACACACCACUAUUUUCAAGUUUUGUUUGGAUAUCUAGG
rnacentral:misc_RNA from 1 species